UACAGAGGGUGCGAGCGUUAAUCGGAAUUACUGGGCGUAAAGGGCGCGUAGGCGGUUGAAUAAGUUAGAGGUGAAAUCCCCGGGCUUAACCUGGGAACGGCCUUUAAGACUGUUUAGCUAGAGUAGAGGAGAGGGGAGUGGAAUUUCCGGUGUAGCGGUGAAAUGCGUAGAUAUCGGAAAGAACACCAGUGGCGAAGGCGGCUCCCUGGACUCAUACUGACGUUGAGGCGCGAAAGCGUGGGUAGCAAACAGG
rnacentral:rRNA from 1 species